UUUAGACAAUCUACAAAGUUAAGCAGUGGAGCCUGAGCCACGAGCUGUUGUGAGCAGAACAAAAGGCCUUCAGCUUGUACCCACAAUUGACUUUGAGUCAAGUUUUUGCCACUCCUAAACAUCUUUCCUCAGAAUCCCUCUCCAAGCCAAGGUGGUUCUUAGCACAACAGGGUCUCCUACAUCUUAUUCUGGCCUCUAUGCAGUAACCCAACAGAACAUAUUGUGUGAAAACACUUUCCCUUCUCUCAGAUCCCCAAGCCAUCUGGAGUCCCUGUCAAAAAGAUUUUGAAUCCUCCUCUCAGGCUCUUCAUGCAAGCAACUUGAUCCAGAAUUUGUAAAGUGCCGUCCAGAGGCAAUAUCUCCGAAGUCUUAGGUCAAAUCUCAUCCUCACUUUUUUCCAGCAAUUGUUCCUGAGUUCUUCAUUUGGUUUCCCUGCUAGAAUGUUACUCUAAACUUACACAAAGUUGAGAAAGAUCCUUAGGAAAAGGGUGAGCAAUGAAUUUGGUGGCAUUAUUUACCAUGCAAACAAUGUAUUUGUGUUCAGUAUAAAGAACUAUAUAAAAUUAAAAACAUAUGGACAAAAUGGAGGAGAUGGUCUUGAGAUUCACAGAAGAGGAAAUUAUAAUGGUCAAUACAUACCUAAAGUAGGAAACCAUGACAUGUUGAACCAUUCCAUAACAAAAUGAAAACAUCUAAUAAUAUUAGUGCUGGAAAAAAUGUGAAGCAAUACAAAUACACAUACUCCAUGACAGAGAUUUCCUUAGUUUCCCCAGCCAUAAUUUUAGACAUAAAUUAUUCAAUAUCAUGCAUGAUUAAGGAUAUUCAUAUAUUAUAAUUGAUUAAUUAUAGUUCUAAGAAUAUUUCACCCAUACUUGUUGCCCAUGUUCCAAAAUCUGUCACAUUUAUAUACAGAACAAGAACCAAAAUAAACUAACAAAACUUGAAAACAAUUAUACCAUUCAUUGCCAGGAAAAUGAAUGAAAUAAGGGUAGUGUGUCUGUGGACUGAAUAUUAGAAAGCUCAAAAAUUAUAUGAAUUAGCAUGAUAUAGAUCAAUAUGGGAAAUUUGUAAGCAUAAUAAAGAACAGAGGGACAUAAUCAGUGAUCCCAUUCCUUUGUUCAGUUCAGAGUAUCCCUAUGCAUUUUUAAAAUGAUGCUUACAAACAUCAUAAAUGAAUACAUCUAGACGUCAGUCCUGGCCUUAUAAGACAUUGGGUUGGAAUUUAGGAAGUCUUAUCAUGUCAGAGUUAGAAGAGAUGUAGGUUUCAAAUGUAUGAGGGUUGUUUUCAUCAUUUAAAGCACUACAAUUCUGAUACAGAUGUAAGAAAAUAUGCUUUAUCUGGUGUGCAAGAUUUAAAGAUUCGAUGGUUUUCUUUCAGCCUUGUGCAAGUUACCUUUCUUGUUGUUAUAACAAAAUAAUUGAAUAAAUUUAAGAUAGGACAGACUUAGUUCAUGCUUUGAGGGUACAGUCCAUCAUUACAGGGAAAUCAUGCAGUCCAAGAAUGAGGAAGCUGGUCACAUAACAUGUAUAGUCAGGAAGGAGCAGGGAAGGAGAAGGAUAGACAGGGGAACAUAGGAAGGUCGGGGGGGGGGGAGGAGAGGAGGAGGGAAGGGGAGGAGAGAGAGAGAGAUACACAUAAAUAGUGAGAAAGAGAGACAGAGACAGGAAGAGAUGAGAGAGAGAGAGGAGAAGAAGAAGAAGAAGAAGAAGAAGAAGAAGAAGAAGAAGAAGAAGAAGAAGAAGAAGAAGAAGAAGAAGAAGAAGAAGAAAGAGGAGGAGGAGGAGGAGGAGGAGGAGGAGGAGGAGGGAUUAGUUUUGCUUACUUUCUCAUUUUCAUUUCUUACCAAUCAUACCAGGACCUUGUCUCCUAGGUGAUUUAAGAUGCUUUUCAAGCCAAGAAUACUAACCAUCACUUGCCUUUUCUCAUUUGGAAUAUUUUAUUGAAAUAAAGUAAAACAAAAAUGUAGUUUCUGAGAUUUGUUUGUGAGUGACAGAUGUAUAACCAUGCAGAAAUAUUUAGUGUCCCUGCUAAUGACACACAGCAGAUUUUAGGUACUGUUCAGCCCUGUCCUCUUAUGUAGGCAGGACAUUAAAAUCAUAGAAAUCUCACAGGUACUACUUGUUUCAUAGAACCUUAUAGAUGAUCACAGACAAUACUUAUCUUUUGAUGAGCUGGAGUAAUUUUUGCCAUAUGUGAACAAUUAUAUAUAUGAUUAUUAUAAACUUUGUAUUAUUUUUAUAUUGUUAAUUUAAUGUGUUAAGUAUUAAAUAUUAUCUAUUUUUAGUUCAGGGAAGUUGGUAAUUUUGUGAUUUUCAUAAAUCUAUCUCCUAUAUGAACUUCUAAACUUAGAAGUGAUGAUUGACCCAAUUUAUUUAAGGCCUGAUUUCAGUAAUUAUAAUUAGUUAAUUCAGCAUAUUUUGCAUUUAACUUAUAAGCCAGUUAUCAUGAAUGCACAAAUGCAAUAUAAAGACUUGAAUUCCUAUCUGAAGUUUUAUAUCUUGGUUCAAUUCUUGGUUGUGUAUAUGUGUUUUCUCUUUACAUUAAUCUAGUUAUUUAACCAACAAUUAUUACAUACCAAGCAAAAUAGUUACCUAAUUUGAAAGAAUAGACAUAUUUCUUUUGAAUACCUGAUUGAACCUGAUUUGAACUAAAAAUACUAUCAGAUUCCAACAAAAGACAUCUAGGCAGCAUCUGUCAUGAAAGUCCAUUUGGAUUGUAUCUUCUGAAUCAAAAUUAAUAUAGUUUCCAGACUGUACAAUGACACAGAGGCUUAUUAUGUAUCAUGAUCUUGCUCUGGACAAUAGGAAACAUGGUGUACUAAUCACACAUGUAGCUAUGACUGAUUUCCUUUCAUAUCAUUUUUCCUUGCCAGUGAACCCAGCAAACUCUGGAAUUACAUUAAUGGCUUCUUGACUUUUCAAAUAGACUUCAGUUAUCUAUACCCAAUCUUAUUAGAAUUAUGGGGACAAUGGAACAAACCAUGCUAUUUCUCUAAAAUUAAGGAAGAUCCUGAGUAUUAGAAAGUGAAUUAGUCAGAGCCGUGAUAACUGGCUCUUUGGUAGAACUCCUUGAUUAAGAAGGGGCUACUUACUUUCUGUGUUUCAGAAGCUCAUGAAAUGGGAAAGGACACAAGGUAUCUCAGCCUCAGAAGCUUUGACAGUUUUGGCUAAGUGCUUCUAUUUUGCAAGGGAGAAUAGAUAUCUCAAAUUUAGUGGAUAAAACGCCAUCAUCUUUAUCUAUUAGAUGCCAGAGUACCUUCCAAUGGUGAUAACCAGGAAUGUCUUCAGAUAUGGUGAGGUGUCUACCUGGAGGAAAUUUGCUUCUGGUUGGGCACUCCUUCCUUAAAGUCCUAGUUAACAGACUUUUGUGUUUUAAUGACCAUGAAAAGACAAGGCAAAUACUCACCAACCCUGGGUAGAGAGGAUUGCAGACCUUGGUCUACAGAUAAGGAUGAUAUAAUCAGUUCUAAUCAAUGAAAUUUGAACAUUACUAUCUGUCAACAACCAGGAAAUACCUUUCCAUAUGUAAUAAACUUGGGAAGCAUAUUUUAAUGAUCAAUGAGGCAAGAGAUGGGAUAAGCUGGAGUUCUGAGUGACAAGGGACUCUGGCAUGAUGGAUAAAAUGUGAAAUGAAUAUGAAAGAGAGAGCUUCAAUAGACAAAGUGACUGAAAUUUAGGAAAUUUACAGAAGCCAGCAUACCUCAAGAAUUAAAACCAUGUUUUUAUUUUUUAAAUACUUACAUAAUUUAAACUAUCUUCUUAAAUUUUCAAUGAAGUAAUAUCAGAAAUAGUGUUCAUAAAUCAUACUAAUUUUGAGUUCUUUUCAUUCUGCUGUGAUUGAUUACUCUGACAAAUGCAGCUUAAGGGGUAAAGAAGUUAUUUGGACUCACAGUUAAAAUGCAUGUGAUAUUGUUAUGUCUUUCCUUUUUAUUUUUCCCUCCUAUUUUGAGUCACUAGGUACUGAACCCAUGGGGCCUUGUGUGUGCUUGAUAAAAGUUCCGUCACUGUGUUAUGUCUCCUGCCCUUUGUAUCCUCUUUCUUAUCCCUGCUCAUUACAUAAACAAAUUCAUAUAUAUCUUUAUUAUAAAAUACAUGUGUAUUAUGAAAACUUUAAAAAUGCAGAAAAGAAUGAAAGUGUUGCUGUUUGCCUAAUA